rnacentral:rRNA from 1 species
GCCUACGGGGGGCAGCAGUAGGGAAUUUUCGUCAAUGGGCGCAAGCCUGAACGAGCAAUGCCGCGUGAACGAGGAAGGUCUUCGGAUCGUAAAGUUCUGUUGAAGGGGAAAAAGAGCGGAGAGAGGAAAUGGUCUCCGAUUGAUAUUACCCUUCGAGGAAGUCACGGCUAACUACGUGCCAGCAGCCGCGGUAAUACGUAGGUGGCGAGCGUUAUCCGGAAUGAUUGGGCGUAAAGCGCGCGUAGGCGGCUUUUCAAGUCAGGGGUGAAAUCCCACGGCCCAACCGUGGAACUGCCUU